rnacentral:tRNA from 1 species
UCCCCAGUAGCUCAGUCGGUAGAGCGAGUGGCUGUUAACCACCAGGUCGCAGGUUCGAGUCCUGCCUGGGGAGCCA